AAGGAGGUGACCGAGCGGUUUAGGUAGUGUCUUUGAAAGACAUUUGAUAGGGGUUCAAAUCCUUUUCUUCUUA
rnacentral:tRNA from 1 species